rnacentral:lncRNA from 1 species
AGGAAGAAGAGUCUACAAACUACUAUGGAUCAAUUCCCAUUUGAAGCAACUGAGGGGACAAUGAAAAUUUUCUUUUGAAGUUGGGAUUUGAGCUGAAUCUUGAAAGAAUCCAAGGAAACUAAGAAAUGAAUUUAAGGAGAGAAAUACCCUGGACAACUGGAGCAAAGGCUUGCCUUCUCUUCCUCUCCUUUACUGCUGAGGGAAGUUACAAUUUCUGCCAGACAGAGGUAAGAAAGAAGUACAUGCCUGCAUGGAGGAUGGUCAGACUAACAUAUGGAGAUGGAAUAUGA